rnacentral:lncRNA from 1 species
AGCCCGUGACACCACCCGAACCACGCGCCACUACAGCUUUCCCGGCAUGGGGCGGGGGGCAAAUGCGGGGUGCUCUCCAUCCAGAGAGAGCUACGUUGUCCGCGGCUACGUGGACAACAGAGCGACCAUGUUCCCUCUGCAGAUUUGAAAUGGAAAAGCUGCCGUAGUGGCUCAGAGCCAUCAUUCAGAAGCGGAAAAUAGCCAAUUUCUCACAUUCGUGCGCCCGCUCCGAAGGAUUAAUUAUCAACACACGCAGAAGCAGCGGUACAGGACAGCUUGGCAGGGUUUCCAGGACGCGUGUCAUCGCUGCUUCCAGCCUGGCCCAUCACAGUUGAUUAGAAUUUUAAGGGAUUUGAGACCCUGGAACCUAUAUCAGUGCACAGAAGUCUAGAAUAGAUAGGUGAGCAAAAAAAGUGCCGUUUUUAUAUUUCUGGAUUCAAACCACUGCUGAUUUCCAUCACAUUGCUCUGGGGGUAAUACUGGCUCAACUGGAUGAGUUUCUGGAUGCAAACCGCAAGCACUUGAGCUCAGUGGCUUAGCACAAAGCAAACACCAGCACACAGAGUGUGUGUGUGUGGCGUGUUCCCAGCACCCAGUACUCCACCUUCUCCCCUCCAGGGCAAUCAUUCUCUGGUGGCGCCUAGGGGUUUGUCUCUUCUGUCUGUUGCUCUCUCUCCUGGGCUCUCAUUCUUUGUGCCCUGUUUUGCUGUCCCAUAGGCUGUCUUGCCUUGUUCGGGCAGUUCUGCAGGUGAGCCAGGCCUGCUUCCUGUGUACUGGGUUUGGUGUUAUUUUGUGUGUUUUCUUUUGUGAGUUCCAGGACAACUAAGGCUACACAGAGAAACCCUGUCUCAAAAAACAAACAAACAAAAAAAAACAACAACAAUGAUAAUAAUAAUAAUAAAAUUUUUAAAGAAAAAAGUAAGUUCUCAAAAUA